UGGAUGAUGUGGUUAAUUCGAUGCAACGCGAAAACCUUACCACCUUGACAUGGCAGGAAUCCUAAAGAGAUUGGGAGUGCUCGAAAGAGAACCUGCACACAGGUGCUGCAUGGCUGUCGUCAGCUCGUGUCGUGAGAUGUUGGGUUAAGUCCCGCAACGAGCGCAACCCUUGCCAUUAGUUGCUACGAAAGGGCACUCUAAUGGGACUGCCGGUGACAAACCGGAGGAAGGUGGGGAUGACGUCAAGUCCUCAUGGCCCUUAUAGGUGGGGCUACACACGUCAUACAAUGGCCGGUACAGAGGGUAGCCAACCCGCGAGGGGGAGCCAAUCCCACAAAGCCGGUCGUAGUCCGGAUCGCAGUCUGCAACUCGACUGCGUGAAGUCGGAAUCGCUAGUAAUCGCGGAUCAGCAUGUCGCGGUGAAUACGUUCCCGGGUCUU
rnacentral:rRNA from 1 species